rnacentral:lncRNA from 1 species
AACCGCCGUUUUGAUUCCCCGUUUUUUUUCUGAUUUGCUCUGACUGAAGGGUGAGGGGUCUUGCAGUUUGUUGCUCCAAGUUGGAAUUGUUAGUACUCGUUGCUGAUUUGCUCUGACUGGUUGUUUGGUUGGACAUGAUGUAUGAAACUUGGAUGCUGUAUGUGCAGCUGUAUGGUUUGAACCUAAUGCAUGAAAAAUUGUGAACUAGUUAUCUAUUGUAUGUG